UGCUGUUUAAGUUCUAUCUAUAGAUUAGUUCAGGGUGCCUCAUAGCUGACGAUAGGUUCAUCAGGAUAGGAGGCCUUGGGAGAGAGAGAGAGAGAGAAGAUUCCUUGCUUCUGGUUGUGCAGACUGGAUGGAAAGCGAGGACAAAAUAUCAGGCCAAGAGCAUUAAUAUGAGCCCCAUGGAAACAGAUACCAAUUUUUAAAACAGAAGAAUCCCCACGAUGCCAGUGAAAUGAAAAGCACAGGCUAAGACUUCACUUCUCGAGCCUUGUUCUGUAACCAACCAAAUACUAUCGAUAACUUUAGACAUUGAUUAA